rnacentral:misc_RNA from 1 species
UGGGUUCAUUUCCCGCAA